rnacentral:rRNA from 1 species
ACUCCUACGGGAGGCAGCAGUGGGGAAUAUUGCACAAUGGGGGAAACCCUGAUGCAGCCAUGCCGCGUGUGUGAAGAAGGCCUUGGGUUGUAAAGCACUUUCAGUAGGGAGGAAGGUAGUGUAGUUAACACCUGCAUUAUUUGUACGUUACCUACAGAAGAAGCACCGGCUAACUCCGUGCCAGCAGCCGCGGUAAUACGGAGGGUGCGAGCGUUAAUCGGAAUUACUGGGCGUAAAGCGCAUGCAGGCGGCCUGUUAAGUCAGAUGUGAAAGCCCGGGGUCUUAACCUCGGAAUUGCAUUUGAAACUGGCAGGCUAGAGUCUUGUAGAGGGGUUAGAA